rnacentral:rRNA from 1 species
AGAAGUAACCCCGGCUAACCACUUGCAGCACCCGCGGUAAUACGUACGGUGCCAGCGUUGUCCGGAAUUACUGGGCGUAAAGAGUUCGUAGGCGGUUUGUCGCGUCGUUUGUGAAAACCCUCAGCUCAACUGCUGGCUUGCAGGCGAUACGGGCAGACUUGAGUACUGCAGGGGAGACUGGAAUUCCUGGUGUAGCGGUGAAAUGCGCAGAUAUCAGGAGGAACACCGGUGGCGAAGGCGGGUCUCUGGGCAGUAACUGACGCUGAGGAACGAAAGCGUGGGUAGCGAACAGGAUUACAUACCCCUGGUAGUCCUCGCCGUAAACGGUGGGCGCUGGUGUGGGUUCCUUCCACGGAAUCCGUGCCGUAGCUAACGCAUUAAGUCGCCCCGCCUGGGGAGUACGGCCGCAAGGUUAAUACUCAAAGGAAUUGACGG